ACGUCAAAUCAUCAUGCCCCUUAUGUCUUGGGCUACACACGUGCUACGAUGGGGACUACAGCGUGAAGCAAAGCGGCGACGCGGAGCGAAACACGAAAAGUCUCCUCAGUUCGGAUUGCAGGCUGCAACCCGCCUGCAUGAAGUUGGAAUCGCUAGUAAUCGCGAAUCAGCAUGUCGCGGUGAAUACGUUCCCGGGCCUU
rnacentral:rRNA from 1 species